CGACCGCUUGUCUUGUUCACAGAAUUUUCAGGCAUUUAAACUACAUCCUCCAUGAUCCAUUGCAAUAUCGUCAUAAUUUUCAGCGUGCCCUCGCUAGCAGGCGCUGUAUCGAUAUAUUAAACUUUAAGGACACAAUAUUUGUGCUGCCUGCCUCUGGAGCAUAUCAGAGCUGACAGUAUCCAGAAAUGGCAGAAAUCCCUUCAAUGUCGGCAGAAACGUCCUUCUCCUCUGGCUGUCAGUGUUUCCUGCCAACGUGUGCCAGCUCACUGGAGAGAGGAGGAGCCACUGGAGCCAGACACCAGCAGGAGGAGGUUUGUACCGCUGCGCGUGACU